rnacentral:rRNA from 1 species
UACAGAGGGGGCAAGCGUUGUUCGGAAUUACUGGGCGUAAAGGGCGCGUAGGCGGCCUUCUAAGUCAGACGUGAAAUCCCUCGGCUCAACCGGGGAACUGCGUCUGAGACUGGAAGGCUUGAAUCCGGGAGAGGGAUGUGGAAUUCCAGGUGUAGCGGUGAAAUGACGCAGAUAUCAGGAGGAACACCGGUGGCGAAGGCGGUGGUCUGGGCCGGCACUGACGCUGAGGAGCGAAAGCGUGGGGAGCGAACAGG